GAGCGGGAGCGCGCUGACGUGUCCCGGAGCGUGCGCCAGAUCGGCCGCGACCUGCGCCGCAUCGCCGACGAGCUACACGCCUCCCUGCCGCCGAAGCCGGGUAAGCCGGGCGCCGGCGCCGUGCUGGACGCGGCCGGUGCCGUUGCCGGACUGAAGACGUACGUCACCGGCAUCGCAAUCGCGUCCGGGCUGGCCGCGCUGCUCCACCGCUUCCUGAGUCAGUAGGCGCUCGGCCACCGCUCCCCGAACGAGCAGAGGCCGGCUCACUCCGGUGUAAAUACCGCAAACUGAUGGCUGUUCGGAAUCUAGUUCGGAAGAAGACCCGUUGAUCUCAGUGGACUGAGUCUUAGUGCUUGGGUGAUAGUGUGUAGGACGCUCACCGGUGAUUGAAGGGAGGCGAAGUAGCUGUGCCCUGUUGUGUUGACGUCAAAAUGAGGCAAUAGUGGCCUCGAGAACAUGUUUAGUAGUUAUAUCCUUUAGCUCAAAACAUUCGUGCGUCGUGCAGUAUGGCUGGAGCAUUGUAUCACUUCGUGGAGGCCUUGCACUCUCUAACGUCUCCCUCUCCCCUCCCUUCCUUUCAACAUAAAGCAUCAACCGAAAAGCUCACUAAACACUUAAAGUGCCCAAAAGCGUGUUUUUAAGAUUUGACCACUGUCCCGAAUCCCGAUAAAUUUGCGAAGUUCCGCUCCAGCCAUGCAGCAUUUCCACAGUUCGGAAGCGAAAUCAAAACAUUCCGUGACGCAUUCGCGGUAGGCUAUGCUGACGUCACAGUUUGAUGCGCUGCCAGCUACCUUGUCAAGGCGAGCGCGAUGAUUGGUGUUUGACGGCAGACGGCUGGCCGCUGCCGAUUCGGCUCGCCUCUACCAAUGUCUUUCAGUGUUGGCAGUCGUGCGCUGCCUGGCCGUAACGGUCCGGUUGAACGGAGGCAGCAGCGUCUGUGUGGAGCCUGUAAGCAGGCUUCGGCCAGGCACGGCCGACUUUCGUAGAAAGAAGGGGAGGCCACGAGCGUGAUUUGUGCCUCGUUUCUUUCCAUGCAACACUAUGUGGCUAAUAGUAAACUUGGCCUGAGCAUUGUAAGCAGAAAACGCGCGUCGCGACUGUGUUCGAUGGCGUCCGAAUGGUGUUCGAGCAAUGCUUAGGCUGCAAAAGAACGCGGCACCGGCCAGCGUUUGAACGUCGUGCAGUUACUGCCGGGCAGCAAGUGGCUUGUAUAUGCUUCAUAAAUUGUUGUGUUUCGAUUUAGAAUCGGACGAAUGCGCGCGUCGCCGUGCACUGUGUGGCUUUCAGUUGAUCUCCGAGUACGUCAGGCCGGCGGACGUUCAGUCUGCCAGCGGUGGUGGUUCUCAAGGGCGCCGGCUGGCGGCGGUGCGGCUUGGCUGCAACCGCGGCCGAUAAAUGGCUUCCGCCGGGGCCGCGGGCAGACGAAGUCGUCCGCCCUGUUACGUGAGGGCAGACGUGAAGAGCAGCGCUGAGAUUCCGGACGUCGUUGUCGGUGGGCGAGAUUCACUCGGCGCUGGGACCCGAUGUCGCUCGUCUUUCGUGUUGUGUACUGCUCCGGCAAGUGCCUCGCUGACCCUGACUCUGACUCGGCUCGGAGUCGGUCGGGGGCCCGUCGCGAAGAGGUCUCGUGCGCUACUUGACGUCUUUCACGUGUGGGAACCAGGGUGCCGUUGGAGGCGUGAGGCGCUGGCGCUCGUGCCGUGCAGUUUUGGCAGCCUGUCCCGAAUGCGACGCUGACCACGCGUGGCGCGGUAGUGGUAGGGCAUCUGCGCGAGGGGAACGCAGCGAUGGCAGGAGGCCCGACCAUGCGCUCCUUCGCGGCGGCUGCUGCUCGGUGGACUGUGAACGCCUUCACAGGUAAACGCCUUCGCAGGUGAUCGUGUGAACGCCUUCGCAGGUGAUCCGCGAUGUUCGAUCUUGAUUUGUACAUAUGCCCGUGUAAAUAGCGUGCCAUUGAUACAUUUAUAGAUUCAGUACAAUACACAUACAAAACGCA
rnacentral:lncRNA from 1 species